CGGCGCGAGCUCCACCCCCCGUGGGCGGUGUCUGUGCGCUCCGGGAGGGGAGCGGGGUGUCCGGGGUCUGCCUGGGAGCCGUGGUCACACUCAGCCGAGAAUCUGCGGAUGGAAACUUGAGAUAGGUGCCCAAGAUGAGUACACUGAAGUACAGAAGAGAGAAGAAGGAAACCCAUAUUAAUUUCCUGCAUCAGAAUCCCAGCACUGCAAGUCUGAAUGGUGUUUUCCAGACACCUUCCAGUGUUCUUGGAUUAGAAGAGUUGCAAAGACAGAAGCAGAUGGGAACAACAAGACAAAAG
rnacentral:lncRNA from 1 species